rnacentral:rRNA from 1 species
GUAGGUGGCAAGCGUUGUCCGGAAUUAUUGGGCGUAAAGCGCGCGCAGGCGGUUCUUUAAGUCUGAUGUGAAAGCCACGGCUCAACCGUGGAGGGUCAUUGGAAACUGGAGAACUUGAGUACAGAAGAGGAAAGCGGAAUUCCACGUGUAGCGGUGAAAUGCGUAGAGAUGUGGAGGAACACCAGUGGCGAAGGCGGCUUUCUGGUCUGUAACUGACGCUGAGGCGCGAAAGCGUGGGGAGCAAACAGGGAUUAGAUACCCUGGUAGUCCACGCCGUAAACGAUGAGUGCUAAGUGUUAGGGGGUUUCCGCCCCCUUAGUGCUGCAGCUAAUGCAUUAAGCACUCCGCCCUGGGAGUACGGCCGCAAGGCUG